rnacentral:ribozyme from 1 species
GUUGGUUUCAAAUUUACUCCAAGUUUUUCUUUCUUCUUUUUUUUUUCCCUUGAGGUUUCUAUGUACUCGCCGGAAAAAAGUAUAAAAAAAGGGA